ensembl:misc_RNA Metazoa_SRP Metazoan signal recognition particle RNA
GCCAGACGUGGUGGCACAUGCCUGUAGUCCCAGCUACUUGGGAGGCUGAGGUGGGAGGAUCGCUUGAGCCCAGGAGUUCUGGGCUGUAGUGUGCUAUGCCAAUUGGGUGUCCGCUCUAAGUCUGGCAUCAAUAUGGUGACCUCCUGGGAGCGGGGGACCACCAGGUGGCCUAAGGAGGGGUGAACCAGCCCAGAUCAGAAACGGUGCAAGUCAAAACUCCCGUGCUGAUCAGUAGUGGGAUCUUGCCUGUGAAUAGGCACUGCACUCCAGCCUGGGAAACAUAGUGAGACCCCGUCUCUA